rnacentral:rRNA from 1 species
AGUGAACGCUGGCGGUAGGCCUAACACAUGCAAGUCGAACGGCAGCACAGUAAGAGCUUGCUCUUACGGGUGGCGAGUGGCGGACGGGUGAGGAAUACAUCGGAAUCUACUUUUUCGUGGGGGAUAACGUAGGGAAACUUACGCUAAUACCGCAUACGACCUACGGGUGAAAGCAGGGGAUCUUCGGACCUUGCGCGAUUGAAUGAGCCGAUGUCGGAUUAGCUAGUUGGCGGGGUAAAGGCCCACCAAGGCGACGAUCCGUAGCUGGUCUGAGAGGAUGAUCAGCCACACUGGAAGUGAGACACGGUCCAGACUCCUACGGGAGGCAGCAGUGGGGAAUCUUGGACGAUGGGCGCAAGCCUGAUCCAGCAAUACCGCGUGGGUGAAGAAGGACUUCGGGUUGUAAAGCCCUUUUGUUGGGAAAGAAAAGCAGCAGGUUAAUACCCCGCUGUUCUGACGGUACCCAAAGAAUAAGCACCGGCUAACUUCGUG